AUGGAACACAUGCAUUUUUCCCUGCAGGCCCAGAAUGCGGCUAGGCCCCGGCGCCUCCUCCCCUGCUGUGUGCACCCCGGAGACGCCAACCUUGCAGCUGACAAGAAUAUCCCAGGAUCGCGGUUCUUAAGGAAAGCAGCACACGGGCACGUCUUCGGUGCACUUGUGUGUGUGGAGUGGUUCGCCGACAUUAGAUCGCCUACUUCCCACCAGAGACCCUUCGCCCCUUCCCUAUUCAUAGUUCUGUCUGUAAACCAUAUUUCAGCCUUAAAACAGAGUGAUUUCAGUCCCUGGGGUUCCUUGAGUUGCUUCUGGAAGGCAAACUGGAUGGAGACAACACCAUGGCUGCAUAUGGAGACCAAGCAGCACCAGCAACCAUCGGAAGCGAAAACAAAUUAAAUCCUUUAUUUAAAAAACAUGAUUCCAUAAUUAAAAUGAGUAAUCAUAACUGACUUCUAAUGGAUAUUUCGCUCAGAACAAUCGUUCCCCCAAAGCGUAGCCUUUGCCAGCCUGGCUGUGCUUUACCACGUUUCCCUUUCUAAGGACAUGGAACCCCUGCACGGGCAGCAGCUCCACACCCAGAGCCCAACUCCACCACUUGCUGUUCUUUCUCCAGGAGGAGGGUCCAAAUUGUUUCUUUGUGCCACUGACAGCUGUGUGAGAGAUGACCUCUGAGCCCUUCGAGCCUGAGAAUCUGGAAAACCAAGGUGUAGUCCAGCUACCUUGUGCAUUCUGUCUGCUCCGUCUACACACGGUCUCUCUUACCCGCUUGCCCCAUACAUGCUAUUGCCCUGCAGUCACGCGGUGUGUGUCGUUAGCUCUUCUGGUGUAAGCACAUCCCUGGGUGAGGGCCACACUGCUCUCUGACCCACUGCCGAGACCCGACCCAGCUUCACGGCCAAUUUCUCACCAUUAGAACGAGAGUUCAUUAUCUUUGCGUUGAGGAGAGGCUGUUUCCACUACAGGCUCUACCUGAGGAUAGAAUCUACAUCCUUUGUAAUGAAACACAUCAGCCCGGGCCUCCUUACCUAUCAAGGCUGCUCCUUUCUUUGUGUUUAAAUAGCAAACCUUCGAAAGGUUAAAUUAAAAAUUAUAACGUUGGCAUAGCCUUCAUGCCAGAUCUACGAAUAGAUGGAGAAGAAUAUUCAACAAGCUUUUAUCCAGGACCUCCCAUUUCAAUGGAGGAGAAGCAAGAAAAAAGAAGAAUUCUCCCAGAGAAUUAUCAGAUGGACUGAUUUAUAAUUCCUAGGAAUCAAAGAAGGGUUAUGGCAUGGAGUUUAGUCUUACUGCAUCUACUGUAGGGGCUCUUAAGUCAAAGGAAACCAUCUAAGAAACUCCUCCUAAUGUCUUUACUGUUAGUCGUUCAGGGCAGGGGAGGAGGUGGAAGAGGACAAGAAAC
rnacentral:lncRNA from 1 species